UGGAGAUGCUUUUGGGAGGAGAAUACGAGGCGAGCAAAAAAAUCAUUUGGCUUCGACAUCGAAAACUCUUGGUUUCUCCGCGACGAAGACUAGACGAUCGUGGGUGAUCACGACGACGACAAAGCAACUCGGCGGUGGAUCUCCUCUCUGACGACAAAAUCAUCGGGUGUCGCUCAGUCGAAUCUAACCGGCGGUUCCUGUCCUCGACGAAGCGGCGAAAAGCGUGGGUUCCUCUCCUCGACGACGAAGCGAAUCGGCGGUGGCUCUCCUCGACGACGACGAUAAUUGACGGUUGCUGCUCAUUAGAAUGGAAAGAUGAAAGGCCAAUUGAAGAGAGAAUCAUAAAUUCUCUGGAGAGAGAAUCGAUCUUCUCUGCAAAGUGAAGGAUGGAUCCGGAGUCAUGAGCAAGCCUCGUCAAACAAAAGGAAUAGAAGAGCAAUACAGGCUUCUUUAACUGGUUCGUGGUGGUGUUUCUCUCAGGAGAGAUGGUGUGACACCCCCGAUCUUAGAUGACCGGAAAUGACACGGUCGAUGUUCCUCGAUGGUCGAUCCGAGGUUCUCAGAAUACUUCCGAUCACCUUAGACCAACAACCAAAGAACACCAACGCUCCUAUCAGAUAUCACUCUAGGCUUUUCAACCCGAAAAAGCAAUACCCGAUAGUUAGUUCGUCCGGACAAGGACUAAUAUCA